rnacentral:rRNA from 1 species
CCUACGGGAGGCAGCAGUGAGGAAUAUUGGUCAAUGGCCGAGAGGCUGAACCAGCCAAGUCGCGUGAGGGAAGACGGCCCUACGGGUUGUAAACCUCUUUUGUCGGGGAGCAAAGCGAACCACGUGUGGUUCAUUGAGAGUACCCGAAGAAAAAGCAUCGGCUAACUCCGUGCCAGCAGCCGCGGUAAUACGGAGGAUGCGAGCGUUAUCCGGAUUUAUUGGGUUUAAAGGGUGCGCAGGCGGAGGUGCAAGUCAGCGGUCAAAUUGCGGGGCUCAACCCCGUACUGCCGUUGAAACUGCAUCCCUUGAGUGCGCGAGAAGUAUGCGGAAUGCGUGGUGUAGCGGUGAAAUGCAUAGAUAGCACGCAGAACUCCGAUUGCGAAGGCAGCAUACCGGCUCCAUACUGACGCUGAGGCACGAAAGCGUGGGGAUCGAACAGGAUUAGAUACCCCGGUAGUC